UACGGAGGGUGCAAGCGUUAUCCGGAUUCACUGGGUUUAAAGGGUGCGUAGGUGGGCAGGUAAGUCAGUGGUGAAAUCUCCGGGCUUAACUCGGAAACUGCCAUUGAUACUAUCUGUCUUGAAUACCGUGGAGGUCAGCGGAAUAUGUCAUGUAGCGGUGAAAUGCUUAGAUAUGACAUAGAACACCUAUUGCGAAGGCAGCUUACUACGCAGAGAUUGACGCUCAUGCACGAAAGCGUGGGGAUCAAACAGG
rnacentral:rRNA from 1 species